GCCAGAGUGGUGGAAUUGGCAGACACGCAGUCUUGAGGAGGCUGUACCGCAAGGUGUGGGAGUUCGACUCUCCCCUCUGGCACCA
rnacentral:tRNA from 1 species